AUACGGAGGGUGCAAGCGUUACUCGGAAUCACUGGGCGUAAAGCGCGCGCAGGCGGCCAUUUAAGUUGGAUGUGAAAGCCUACGGCUCAACCGUAGAACUGCAUCCAAGACUAUUUGGCUAGAGUGUGGGAGAGGAAGAUGGAAUUAGUUGUGUAGGGGUAAAAUCCGUAGAGAUAACUAGGAAUACCAAAAGCGAAGGAAAUCUUCUGGAACAUUCCUGACGCUGAGGCGCGAAAGCGUGGGGAGCAAACAGGAUUAGAAACCCUUGUAGUCC
rnacentral:rRNA from 1 species